rnacentral:rRNA from 1 species
GACGAACGCUGGCGGCGUGCUUAACACAUGCAAGUCGAACGGAAAGGCCUGCUUUCCCUUGUGGAUUGCGGGUACUCGAGUGGCGAACGGGUGAGUAACACGUGAGUGAUCUGCCCCCAACUUGGGUAUAAGCCUGGGAAACUGGGUCUAAUUCCCGAUAGGACUGCAGGGUGGUGCCUGUGGUGGAAAACGAUUUUCUAGUGGUUGGGGAUGAGCUGGCGGCCUAUCAGCUUGUUGGUGGGGUAAUGGCCUACCAAGGCGGCGACGGGUAGCCGGCCUGGGAGGGUGGACGGGCACAUUGGGACUGAGAUACGGCCCAGACUCCUACGGGAGGCAGGAGUGGGGAAUAUUGCACAAUAGGAGGAAGCCUGGUGCAGGGACGCCGCGUGGGGGAUGACGGCCUUCGGGUUGUAAACUCCUUUCGACCGCGAGGAAGCCACCUGGUUGGAAGGGUGGUGACGGUAGUGGUAGAAGAAGCACCGGCUAACUACGUG